AUUGAACGCUGGCGGCAUGCCUUACGCAUGCAAGUCGAACGGCAGCACGGGAGCAAUCCUGGUGGCGAGUGGCGAACGGGUGAGUAAUACAUCGGAACGUGCCCAAUCGUGGGGGAUAACGCAGCGAAAGCUGUGCUAAUACCGCAUACGAUCUACGGAUGAAAGCAGGGGACCGCAAGGCCUUGCGCGAAUGGAGCGGCCGAUGGCAGAUUAGGUAGUUGGUGGGGUAAAGGCUCACCAAGCCAACGAUCUGUAGCUGGUCUGAGAGGACGACCAGCCACACUGGGACUGAGACACGGCCCAGACUCCUACGGGAGGCAGCAGUGGGGAAUUUUGGACAAUGGGCGCAAGCCUGAUCCAGCCAUGCCGCGUGCAGGAUGAAGGCCUUCGGGUUGUAAACUGCUUUUGUACGGAACGAAACGGCCUUUUCUAAUAAAGAGGGCUAAUGACGGUACCGUAAGAAUAAGCACCGGCUAACUACGUG
rnacentral:rRNA from 1 species